GAGGAUUUUACGUUUAUAAGUCCUUAAAUUCUUUAUUGAAAAGCACUUUACGCCCAUAUGAGCCAAUGGCUUAAAACAUUAUACAUAAUAUACAGUUUACAUAUAUAAAACAACUUGAUGAAAAAGACAACGACCCACAAUACAUAAAAUGGAUAUAAUUUUGUGUUUCCAUUUUGUAAAUGUUUCACCGAGCGAGUACUCUUCACCGAGGUAACAUCCCUUCAUG
rnacentral:lncRNA from 1 species